GUGCUUACUGUGGCAGCACAUGUAUACUAAAAUUGGAAAAAUAUAGCAAAUACUUGUAAAGUUCCUGGCAAGGAUGAUAUGCAAAUUUGUGAAGCACUCAUUUUUGUC
rnacentral:snRNA from 1 species